rnacentral:rRNA from 1 species
UUCAGUUAAAACGCUCGUAGUCGGAUUUCGGGGCAGGUUUGCCGGUCUGCCGAUGGGUAUGCACUGGCAGAACUGUCCUUCCUUCCGGAGACGGCGCCUACUCUUAACUGAGCGGGUGUCGGAGACGGAUCGUUUACUUUGAAAAAAUCAGAGUGUUUCAAGCAGGCAGCUCGCUUUUGCAUGGAUUAGCAUGGGAUAAUGAAAUAGGACUUUGGUGCUAUUUUGUUGGUUUCGAACACCGAAGUAAUGAUUAACAGGGACAGUCAGGGGCACUCGUAUUCCGCCGAGAGAGGUGAAAUUCUUAGACCAGCGGAAGACGAACCACUGCGAAAGCAUUUGCCAGGGAUGUUUUCACUGAUCAAGAACGAAAGUUAGGGGAUCGAAGACGAUCAGAUACCGUCGUAGUCUUAACCAUAAACCAUGCCGACUAGGGAUUGGAGGAUGUUCCUAUGUGACUCCUUCAGCACCUUUCGGGAAACUAAAGUCUUUGGGUUCCGGGGGGAGUAUGGUCGCAAGGCUGAAACUUAAAGGAAU